rnacentral:misc_RNA from 1 species
AAGUCGUAACAAGGUAACCGUAGGUGAACCUGCGGUUGGAUCAUUAACAAUCAGAGCUUAAUUUUAGAUUGGCUCGCUGGAUUUAUCCAGUUCAACCACUGUGAAAUGGAGCGUUUAAGUGGGGAGUUAAAUCCCCCUUGCAAACUUUUUUAAACUAAACUGAAUCUGAGACAAUGAGAAACAACUUUUGACAACGGAUCUCUUGGCUCUC